UACGGAGGGUGCAAACGUUGCUCGGAAUUAUUGGGCGUAAAGAGCUCGUAGGCGGUCUGUCGCGUCGGAUGUGAAAACCCAGGGCUCAACCCUGGGCCUGCAUUCGAUACGGGCAGACUAGAGUUCGGUAGGGGAGACUGGAAUUCCUGGUGUAGCGGUGAAAUGCGCAGAUAUCAGGAGGAACACCGGUGGCGAAGGCGGGUCUCUGGGCCGAAACUGACGCUGAGGAGCGAAAGCGUGGGGAGCAAACAGG
rnacentral:rRNA from 1 species